AUAACUCUCAGCAAUAGAUAUCUUGGCUCUUGCAUCAAUGAAGAAUAUAGCGAAAUGCGAUACUUGGUGUGAAUUGCAGAAUCUUGUGAGCCAUCGAGUCUUUGAACAUAAGUUGCACCCUAAGCCAUUAGGCUGAGUGCACACCUACCAAGGUGUCAUGCGUCCUUGCCCCCUAAUCCUUCGCCUAUCAAGCUUCGGGUAAGGGGACAAAAAAUGGCCUCUCAUGAUCUCAUCAGUCAUGGUUGACCCAAAAGUGAGUCCCCAACAAUGAUAGCACCAUGACUCUUGAUUGUAAAGCUAACUGCAUGCCUCAUCUUUAGUGAUGCACGCUCACUGGACCCCUUGCAUCACUCAGUCAAUGCUCAUAUCACUCGAUCAAUACUCGCAUCGUGACCUAAGCACAUCAAUAAGUGAAGGAAAAGAAACUUGCCAGGAUUUUCCUAAUAACAGCAAGCAAACCAAGAAAAGCCUAGCUUGAGAAUUAGACGCCCCUAACUUUCGAAUUAUAGUUUGGAAAAUAGUCCUUAGUGAUGGACCAAGCCUAUGACCCUUGGAAGAGGGUGCCAAAGAUGGUGAGAACCCCAUUGUGCAUGGACCCUAUCAUACCACAACGCACUAUCUGUGAGUUAGGUUGUUUGGGAAUACAACCCUAAUCAAGCGGUAAAUUUUGUUUAAGGCUAAAUAGGAGCAAGAGAUCGAUAAUGACCAAGUACUCUAAGGGAAAGAUGAAAAGAACUUUGGAAAAAGUGUCAAAGAUAGCUUGAAAUUGUCAGGAAGGAGGUGGAUGGGUGCCAGUGAUGCUCCAUGAUCUAAUGUGGAACAAAAAAGCUGGUCUAUAGAUCGAUUUGAGGCAUAGACCGAUGCGGGUUGUGACAAUAGCCCAAGCGUAAGCUUCUGCUAUACCUAUGAAGAUGUCAUCACCAUGAUUAUGGAAUGUAGCACACACCAUCUCGACAUGCCUCGAUACCCAUGUGCUCUCAACGUCGGCCUACAGGCUCCCUAUGUAGCCCAUCUUGAAACAUGGACUAAGAAGUCUAACAUGUCUGCGAGUCAAUGGGCUAGGAUACCCAUAAGGUGUAAGGAUGCUGAUUGGUGAGAUCCCUCAUGGGUGUACUGUCGGUUGGCCUUGAUCUUUUGAGAAAGGUUUGAGUGCGAGCAUGCUUAUCAAGCCCUAAAAGAUGGUGAACUAUGCCUAAGUAGGGCCAAGCCAAAAGAAACUUUGAUGAAGGCCCACAACAAUAUUGAUGUGCGAAUGUUUGUCUAAUUUAGGUAUACAGGUGAAAGACUAAUUGAACUAUCUAGUAGUGGUUUCCUCUAAAGUUUCCCUCAAGAUAACUAGAGCCCUUAAUGAGUUCUAUCAAGUAAAGCUAAUGAUUAGAGGCAUUGUGGGUGCAACACCCUUGACAUAUUCUCAAACUUUAAAUAGGUAGGAUAGUGUGGUUACUUCAUUAAGCCAUGCCAUUGAAUCAAGAGCUCUAAUAUAGGCCAUUUUUUGUAAGCAAAACUACUGAUACGAAAUGAAUCAAAAGUUGGGUUAUGGUGCCCAAUUGCAUGCUAACCUAGAACCCAUAAAGGGUGUUGAUUGAUUAAGAUAGUAGGAUUAUGGUCAUGGAAGUCAAUUCACUAAGGAGUGUAUAACAACUCACUUGCCAAAUCAACUAGCCCCAAAAAUGGAUGGCACUUAAGCGUAUGACCCAUACCUGACCAUCGAAGUAAGGGCCAAGCCCUAAUAAGUAAGAGGAUGCGACGGUCACUGCAAAACCCAGGGUGCAAGCCUGGGUAGAGUAGCCAUUAGUGUAGAUCUUGGUGGUAGUAGAAAAUAUUCAAAUGAAACUUUGAAGGCUGAAGAAAGGAAAGGUUCCAUGUGAACGGCACUUACACAUGGGUUAGUCGAUCCUUUGAGAUAGGGGAAGCCUAUCCGAUAACAUGUCUGGUGCGAGCUUCAAAAUGGAAUCCUGUUAAAAUUCCUAAAUUGGGACAUGGUAGUUAAUGGCAAUGUUCGGGAGCUCAAAGACAUUAAUAGGGGCCUUAUGAAGAGUUAUAUUUUCUAUUUAAUGGCCUGCCCACCUUUGAAACAGCUCAGCCGAAGGUAGGGUUAAGCGGUUAAAAAAGCAUCACACAUCACAUGGUGUUUGGUAUACCCUCGAUGACCCUUGAAAAUCUACUAGACCAAGUGCCAUCCACACUUGAUCAUACUUAUAACUGCGUUAGGUCUCCAAGGUUAAUAGCCUUUGGUCAAGAGAACAAUGUAAGCAAGGGAAAUCAGCAAAAUGGAUCCAUAACCUCAGGAAAAAGACUGGCUCCGAGGGCUAGGCAUAGAGUUUCUAGUCCUGAACUCAUCAACUGCUAGUGCACUGCUCGAGCUACUCUCAUGAUGAGAGUGGGACACCACAUGCUAACAAUAAGAUAGACUGGGAAUGGCUCUCUCAAGGGCCUUCAUUGGGUGAUGAACAAUCUACUCAGAACUAGUAUAGACAAGGGGAAUCCAAUUGUUUAAUUAAAACAAAGUAUUGCAAUGGUCCCUAUGGAUGCUCACGUAAAGUGAUUUUUGCCUAGUGCCUUAAAUGUCAAAAUGAAAAAAUUCGACCAAGCAUAGGUAAAUGGUGGGAGUAACUAUAACUCUCUUAAGGUAGCCAAAUGGCUCGUCAUUUAAUUAGUGAUACACAUGAAUGGAUUAAUGAGAUUCCCAUUAUCCCUAUCUACUAUCUAGAGAAACCACAGUAAAAGGAAUAGGCUUGGCAAAAUCAGUGAGGAAAGAAUACCCUAUUGAGCUUGACUCUAGUCCAAUUUUGUGAAAUGACUCAAAAGGUGUAGGAUAAGUGGGAGCCCUCAGGUAAAAUUGAAAUACCACUACUUUUAACAUUAUUUUACUUAAUCCAUGAAUCGAAGGCAAGGCAUGACCCUUUAUUUUUUACCCAAGGCUAGCCUCAAUCAAUCUAUCUAGGCAAAAGACAUUAUCAGGUGAGGUGUUUAGCUAGGGUGGCACAUCUAUUAAAAGAUAAUACAGGUGUCCUAAGAUGAGUUCAAUAAAAACAGAAAUAUUGUGUGGAGCAGAAGGGUAAAAGCUCAUUUAAUUCUAAUUUCUAGUAUGAAUAUAAACCCUAAAAGUGUGGCCUAUCGAUCCUUUAAACUUUGGAAUUUAAAGUUAGAGGAGUUAGAAAAGUUACCAUAGGGAUAACUAGCUGUGGCAGCCAAGCGUUCAUAGUGACAGUGCUUUUUUAUCCUUCAAUGUCAACUUUUCCUAUCAUUAUGAAGUAGAAUUUAGCAAGUGUUUGAUUAUUCACCCACCAAUAUAGAACGUGAACUGGGUCUAGACCAUCAUGAGACAACUUAGUUUUACCCUACUAAAGGUAGCAUUGCAAUAGUAAUUCAACCUAGUGUGAAAAGAACCAUUGAUUCGCACAAUUGGUCAUUGCACUUGGUUGAAAAGCUAGUGGCAUGAAGCUACCAUAUACUAAAUUAUGAUUGAAUGCUUUUAAGUCAAAAUCUUGGCUAAAAGUGAUGUGUGUGCUUGUCACCCAAUUGUUAACCUACAAUAGGGGCCCAUGGCCCCCAAAGGCACAUGUUAUAGGUGCAGCCCCCUUUAAGGACAAGCCACAUAAGCCUGCUUGGAGCUCAAUUCCCAUCGAGCAAUAGGUAGAAUCCUUUGCAA
rnacentral:rRNA from 1 species